rnacentral:rRNA from 1 species
UGACACUGAACAUUGAGCCUUGAUGUGUAGGAUAGGUGGGAGGCUUUGAAGUGUGGACGCCAGUCUGCAUGGAGCCGACCUUGAAAUACCACCCUUUAAUGUUUGAUGUUCUAACGUUGACCCGUGAUCCGGGUUGCGGACAGUGUCUGGUGGGUAGUUUGACUGGGGCGGUCUCCUCCUAAAGAGUAACGGAGGAGCACGAAGGUU